rnacentral:rRNA from 1 species
GACAAAAAAGACUAGUGUUAAUCAUCUUUAUUAGGUUUAAAGGGUAUCUAGACAGCAUAUUUAGUCUCAUAAAGAUUACAAAUAUUGCUAGAGUUUUAUAAGAUAAGCAUAUGGGGAAUUAUUAGUGUAAAGAUAAAAUUUUUUUAAUACUAUUAAGACGGUUAAGGGCGAAAGCAUGCUUUUAUGUAAAACUGACGUUGAGAGACGAAGGCUUGGGUAACGAAAAGG